rnacentral:misc_RNA from 1 species
UUUUAAAAAUAAAACCAACUCAUAAUAAGUACUAUAUUAAUAUCAUCUACUUAUGCGCCUAUAAACAGUUAAAUCAAAUACCCUCUCAUCCAAACACCCUCUGAGCCCUUAUCUUUUGACACAUAUUUGAGAAAAGCAAAAGAAGCAAAACCAAUGUGCCUCAGAAUUGCAGAAUAACAGCAAGGCUUUUAAAGCCAUUCAGUCCCGAAAGAUGGUAUUUUGGUGUACUGAUAUCAUCAUGGGCAACAUUGUUUAAGACACAAUGCAAAUCUUAAAGCCAGAGUCCCAGUUAUACAAAUAUGGUACCUCCCAUUGAAGGGAAGCUUUUCCAAAGAAAAAGGCUCCAUCAACAACAACACUCAUGCCUAUUUCCUGUUCUAUUUGUGCACCAUUCACCAACAAAGCACAUCAACAUCACUUUAAAAAAAUAAAUAUAAAUGUAUGACUCAUGGCCAGUCCCAAAUUGUAAUGGCGACGACGCCGCUACACAAGGCGAUGGAAUAUGAGUCCUUCCCUUCUCGCGGAGGUGCUCCACCAAAAAUGGAGGAGGACCUCAACGCCUUAGGGAAUUUCUAUCUGACGUUUACUUUUG